UGUAGGGUCAGUGUUCACCAGCCCUUUGUCUCCUCCCUGUGAGAGCAGCGCGCAGGAGCUGCUUCCAGGCCGCCAUCUUGACUCAACCCCUCUUAAUGAUUCCUGUGUCUCCGGCUUUUAGAACUAAAGCAGUUAUAAGAAUAUAGACAUAUUCCACUCAGUCGGAGUGUUCAUAAAGGUGUUUAUUUUGUGUGUUUAUUUAUGUAUUUAUUUAUUUAUGUAAUCCCUGCAGGAUAAUUCUAAGUUGGUUUACUGACAACUAUACGCGAUAUUAAGCACCAUACUAUAUCUCAGCAACAUGCAUAUGUUUGAAUGGAGUUCAUGAAAGGAGAAAGACAUUUACCCAUAGAAAAAAACAACACUCAACUUGGGAAGACUUCAACCUCUUCACUCUCCAACCUCCACUCCCUUCAGAGGUAGAAUUUUUCUGAAAGGAUCAGGAAAAUGUAUUUUCUCUGCACUAUUUUCUCUCCAAGAAAAGCAUACUAAGAAUGUUUGCUUCUUAUACUCCACAUAGCCAUCAUCUACCACAGUCAUUCAUCUGGACUUCAAGUCUGCCCUGCUGGGAAGUAGGUCACCACCUCUACACUGGGCCACUGUCAAGAUCCAAAAUGUGCUAAAACUUAAUCACCACUCUAUUUGGUAGCAAUCCAAAGUGGACCAAAACAUUUCCUAAGUAAUACCAAGGUCAAAAAUAUAAUGUCGAUAUGUCAAAUUUUGAUCUCUGUGAGUGGAUACUAGUAAAUGGAGAGUUGUUAUGAGUAGGAUAAGAGGAAAUUUGUUGGUUGUUUCAUAAAAGCAAAGAAAAUUAAGGAAAUAAAAGUAAGCCAUCAACAAGUACAUGUCCAGCAUUAGGAGAUAUACCUAAUGUAAAUGACGAGUUAAUGGGUGCAGCACACCAACAUGGUGCAUGUAUACACAUGUAACAAACCUGCACGUUGUGCACAUGUACCCUAGAACUUAAAGUAU